AUGCCGCAGGUGCAGCCCUUAAAAAGAAAAAAAAAAAAAAAAAAAGAGCACCUCCCAACACCUCAAAGGGCUGAGGCAAAGGGAAAGGUCUCAGUCAGGUGUAGUGAGCUGACGUCCAUCUCUUUUCCUGACCUAGGAGAUUCGCGAAGUCAGAGAAAACUGGGAGUUAGUCACCUCCGUCACUCCAACACAAAACAGGGUGCCUGGCGCCUGGCACAAAGCAGAACUUUAGUGCAGAUACAACAACCACAACAAAAAAAUGUUGUGGUUAUUGUUGUUGAACUGAAUCUGACACACGAUGCUUAUGGAGGGAAAUGAGAACUGGGCUCCUCAAAUACCUAAGGGUGGUGCUGGAAGCACGGAGUGUGAAGCCCACCUGCCACCUAAGGAGUUUCAGUUUCAAAAAAUCUGUCUCUGUGUUAUGCCUUCUAUCAUCUCAGCUUCCUGCUGAGAGAGCAUCAAUAGGGAGAAGCGAUUCUUCUUUUUCUAUUUGUAUUUAUUUUUAUUGGAAUAUAGUUGAUUUACAGUAAGUAGUGUCUGGUAUACAGCAAAAUGAUUCAGUUUAUUUAUUUACUUAUAACUAAAUAUACGUGUAUUCUGUUUUAUACUCUUUUCCAUUAUGGUUUAUAACAGAAUGUUGAAUACAGGUCCCCGAGCUACACAGUAGGACCUUCUGCUUAUCUAUUUUAUAAAUAAUAGUGUGUAUCUGCUCAUUCCAAGCUCCCUAAUGGAUCCCUUCCCCACCCUCUUUCCCUUUGGUAAACAUCCGUUUGUUUUCUAUGACUCUGAGUCUGUUUCUGUUUUGUUAAUAAGUCCAUUUGUAUCACUUUGUUUUCAUUUUUAAAAGUUUUAUUGAAGUAUGGUUGAUUUACAAUGUCGUGGUAAUUUCUGCUGAAAAACAAAGCGAUUCAGUUAUGCACAUCCAUUGUCUUUCAGAUUCUUUCCCAUCUAGACCAUCACAGAAUAUUGAGUAGAGCUCCCUGUGCUACACAGCAGGUCCCCAUUGGCCAAUCAUUUCAUAUGCAAUAGCGUGCCUGAGCCAAUCCCAAACCCCUCGUCCCUCCCUCCCCCCACCACCUGUCCCUUUUGGUAACUAUAAUAUUGUUUUCAGUCUAUGAGUCUAUGUCUGCUCUGCAAAUAAUUUCUUUCGUAUCCUUUUUUUUUUAGAUUCCUCAUAUAAGUGAUAUCAUACGAUGUCUGUCUUUUCAGUGUCUUGACUAACCUCAGUUGGUAUGAUUUCUAGGUCCAUCCAUGUUUUAGGGAAUGACUUUAUUUCAUUCUUCUUUAUGGCUGAGUAGUAUUCCAUUGUGUGUAUAUAUAUGUGUGUGUGUGUGUGUGUGUGUGUGUGUAUACACCAUAUCUUCUUUAUCCAUUGUUAAGGUAGUGAUUGAUAGGUAUAUAUUUAUUGCCAUUUUAAACUUUUUUUUUUCAUUUUAUUUUGCCUUUCUUCUUUGUUCCAUCC
rnacentral:lncRNA from 9 species